GCACGCAUUAGCUAGGUCUUUCACACGCAAAUGAGAGAGGCUGCAGAUGGUCCGGGCGGAAUUAUUGCUCGAUUUGACACCAGGCCCGACGAAUGGGACGUCGUGUAAGUCAACAAUAAACCACAACACCAAUAUAAAGAUUUUUCUCUCUACAAACUUUAGAUGAUCUGUCACAUGAAUUAUCAUUUCAGUCAUUAGGCCGGCGGUCAUACCACCACCAUUAAAAAAGGCCGACCCGGUCGCCCGGUACCAGUGGUACCGUGAAAAGUGGACCCGCCAGCCGCCACCUGGGGAGGCCGACCACCGUGUCCUCCGGUGGGAGAUCCGGAUAUGUGUGGGACGGCUAGCCCAAGGUCUGAUCCCAACACCAGGCCCGACGAAUGGGACGUCGUUAAUUCGGCCAGCUGCAAUCCCCCACCCCUUGCCAAAGGCCGACCCGGUCGCCCGGUACCAGUGGUACCGGGAAAUAUGGAGGCGGCAGCUCCCACCCGGGGGAGGCGGACCGCCGUGUCCUUGGGUGGCAUAUCCGGGACCAAUUGGCCCGGGGUAUAGUCCCAUAAGGAUUUCUCCAGAAAACGGCAAGAAAAAACCCGCCAAACAGACUCCAGGCCUGACGAAUGGGACGUCGUUGACUCAGAGACCUGCUUCCCUGGCCUGACUCCUCCUUUGUAUAUAGUUUUUUAUAGUUGUGUUAUUUCUGUUUUUAAAUAAAGUUUUUUUCACAUUUACCAAUGCCUCUGUUUGUAUUUGCAAUUGAAUCCGUUUAUCUGGUUUGGCCUUCAGCCUUGACAUCUCAUACAAAUAGUUCUCCAGGCUUUUUACUGGACUUGGCUGCUUUUUCACUUGUUUCCAC
ensembl:lncRNA